rnacentral:rRNA from 1 species
AUUGCUAUAAACGCAUAUUAUACAACUUUCAACAACGGAUCUCUUGGCUCUCGCAUCGAUGAAGAACGCAGCGAAAUGCGAUAAGUAAUGUGAAUUGCAGAAUUCAGUGAAUCAUCGAAUCUUUGAACGCACCUUGCGCCCUUUGGUAUUCCGAAGGGCACGCCUGUUUGAGUGUCGUGAAAUUCUCAACCCAUACUUCUUUUUGAAGGAUGGGCUUGGAUUUGGAGGUCUUUGCUGGCUCGCCUUUCGAGGUGGAUCGGCUCCUCUUGAAUGCGUUAGUGAGGCCUUUUGCAAUGUUGCCUUUGGUGUGAUAAUUGUCUACGCCGUUGGUGAUGGUGCGAAACUUGAAGGACUCGCUUCUAACUGUCUCGUCAGGGACUCUAUCGAACUUUGACCUCAAAUCAGGCGGGACUACCCGCUGAACUUAAGCAUAUCAAUAAGCGGAGGAAAAGAAACUAACAAGGAUUCCCCUAGUAACUGCGAGUGAAGCGGGAAAAGCUCAAAUUUAAAAUCUGGCAGCCUUUGGUUGUCCGAGUUGUAGUCUGGAGAAGCGUUUUCCGUGC